AUGAACGCUGGCGGCGUGCUUAACACAUGCAAGUCGCACGAAGCACCUUGAUUCGAUUCUUCGGAUGAAGAUCUUGGUGACUGAGUGGCGGACGGGUGAGUAACGCGUGGGUAACCUGCCUCAUACAGGGGGAUAACAGUUAGAAAUGACUGCUAAUACCGCAUAAGACCACAGCACCGCAUGGUGCAGGGGUAAAAACUCCGGUGGUAUGAGAUGGACCCGCGUCUGAUUAGGUAGUUGGUGGGGUAACGGCCUACCAAGCCGACGAUCAGUAGCCGACCUGAGAGGGUGACCGGCCACAUUGGGACUGAGACACGGCCCAAACUCCUACGGGAGGCAGCAGUGGGGAAUAUUGCACAAUGGGGGAAACCCUGAUGCAGCGACGCCGCGUGAGCGAUGAAGUAUUUCGGUAUGUAAAGCUCUAUCAGCAGGGAAGAAAAUGACGGUACCUGACUAAGAAGCACCGGCUAAAUACGUG
rnacentral:rRNA from 1 species